rnacentral:lncRNA from 1 species
GAGGAAUUGUGAUGUAAAUAGCACGGUAUGUCUGCACAGUGGAGGACAGGGGAGGCUUCCAGUCAGACAGCACAGCACACGCAAAGGCACAGCAUGACCAAGGAGAAGCAGGACUGUGCAGAUGGGACAUGAGGAAGAGAUUCAAAGUCAGGCAGAUUAAGGGAAUACCAUGAAGGGACUCUUUGGGAUGCAAAGUCAUAAACUUGACAUUCUUUGUAACAGAACUGUAUGUAUGGCAUGCUGCUGGAUUGCGAGGCAAUGGCUAUGUUAAAGGGACUAUCCCUGUGCCCGCUACAUUGUCAUUUGAAUAGAUCUACAAUACGGUUUGGGACCACCAACCUCUCUGUUUUAAGCUCGAUGGCCGUGGUGCGAAGUAGAGUUGGUUGCUAUGAAAUAGAACUUUACAUUGUGGAUGUUCUUGUGUGGAAGCUGCCUAUGACCAGGAAAUAUGUACAGUGCAGGUCAGUAACUUGAGAGAACAGCAUUAUUUUGAAUGCAUAGUUUCCUGUGUGCAGCAAAAACAAGUAAAAUGCAUUAUUUAGUAUCUUGCACAUAGUAGGUGCUCAAUGAGUCUUAUUGGAAUGUGGUCAGAAAUAGAGCAGGCUUCAAAACAACACAUCUGUCCAUUCUAUAUUCAGUGCUUUUCUAUAAAUAGCUUGCAUUGAUUCCCAUCCAUGUGUGACUUGAUUUUAAGUGCCUUUAAACUUAAAUAAUGAUGCUUUACAGGAAUAUGUAAAUGAAGUUCAGUUGGAGUGCAAGAAUGCUGAUAAUAGAAGAACUAAUUAAGUCACAGGAACUAUCUUGCCACUAAUUCAAUGUGAUAGACUUGGUUGGGCCGAUUACCCUAUCUGAGUGUAUUGCUGGAAUUUCUCUUUUAAUGUAGG